UUUUUUUUUUUUUUAAAGAUUUAUUUACUUACUUACUUACUUAUUUGAGAGAACAAGAAAGAGAGAGAGAGAAUCUUAAGCAAACUGCUCUGAGCAUGGAGCCCGACUCGGGGCUCAGUUUCACGACCCUGAGAUGACUUGAGCCAAAAACCAAAAGUCAGACGUUUAACCGACUGUGCCACUCAGGCACCCCUGAAUCCUUAAAUCCUUUAAAUAUAUUUAUAUGUUUAUAUAUUUAUAUUUAAAUAUAAAUAUCACACAGAAUUAGAUCUAUAGUUCUUGAAUUAUAAUAAACUUUUAUGGAUGUGAAUAUUAUCCAACUCAUGUUUCAAUAUACUUCCUACACUGGCUCCCUGAAAUAAUGUAAAACAUUCUUUGUUAGUAAAAACAUGCUUUUAAGAAGACAGUGAAAGUGAUAGACUUGGGGGAAACCAUCAAUAUUUAGGUAAUAGAAAAUGUAAAACCAAAUAGCUUGGGGCCAAUUCAGUUCUACUAUGUAAAAUCAUGCUGAUUGGAGCAAAUCAAUGCUUUGAAGACUUAGUCUAAUAUACUAUAGCUCUAAUAAAGUUAGGUAAAUUGUGAAUUCUGUGUAUGGUGUAUAGAGGACACGUGACUCAUUCCAAAACAGUGAUUUUAAUGCUUCACGUCUCAACUGAAGAGCAUUGUCGUAUGGAAGCAGUUUCAGGUGGUGAUCAAGUCAGAACCUUAUCUGGAUUCUCACCAGUCAUGUGACCUUGACUAAAUCAAUCACAAUCAUUUUUCAUCUAUAUCCUACCUCUUUAUAUUAUCAUGAGGAUUAAGUGAGAUGUAUUAUAAAGCCAUCACACAAUCCUUGGCUCACAGUAGGUACUCCAUAAAUCUUGGCCAUUUUGAUUAAUAUUAUUAUUAUAUUUUUAUUAUUGCAUAUUAUAUGCAAAUAAAAUUGUGAUUUCUGAAUCCUCCAAAUCCCAAUUUGAUGGUGGAGGAAGAAGUUCCACAUGAGGACCAAGAGACAGAUGACUUUAAAAGCUGUUUUUCCUGAUAAUGACUAUACUUUAAAACACAAUUCCCAGUGUAAAACAGGAGGCAAGCUUUUGAUUUUUUCAAAAUCUCUGCCUUCCUACACCAGGGAUGUGUGGAUUUUACAUGAUUGCAAAUUCUACCCGAUAGUCUACUAUAUUUUUUAAAUCACUUAUUUAUGCAAACAUUCAGUACAUUUUUAGAACUUAAAAUAUAUCAUCUGACAUUUUUUUUAAACUUAAGGUUUUUAAAAAAUAAAUGAGACAGUUUCUGGGCUUAAGACAGUUUCUAAUGCCUUAUUUUGUUGAUUCAGUCGUACAAAACCAUUACAGUAAAUCUCUUGGGAAAAAAUAUGUUGUUGCUCUAAUACAAGGUUUGCAAUCUGUAGCUUGGUUCGAAUCCAGCCACUGCCAGUUUGUGUAUGUCCUGCAAGCUAAGAACAUUUUUCACAUUUUUAAAUGGUUGAAAAAAAUCUAUAGAAUAGUAUUUCAUGACAAAUAUAUAAAAUUCAAAUGUCAGUGUCCAUAAGUAAAAUUUUAUUGGAACAGAUUGUUUGAGUAUUAUCUAUGGCUGCUUUCACACUACAAUAGCAGAGUUGAGUAGUUACCGCAGAAUCCGUGGAUAGUCCACAAAGCCUAAAAAAGGGCCAGAGAGCAAUUCUCAUUAGCAAGCCCUGCUACCAAAAAAAAAAAAAAAAAAAA
rnacentral:lncRNA from 1 species